rnacentral:rRNA from 1 species
AACGAACGUUGGCGGCGUGGAUUAGGCAUGCAAGUCGCGGGAAUCCCAGCAAUGGGGGAACCGGCGUAAGGGGCAGUAAGGCAUGGGUGACCUACCCGGCGGUUGGGCAUAGCCCGUAGAAAUACGGGGUAAUUCCCAGCGAUGUCGUAAGACCAAAGCUCCGGCGCCUCCGGAGAGGCCCAUGUAGUAUUAGCUAGUUGGUGGGGUAACGGCCCACCAAGGCGAAGAUGCUUAGCGGGUGUGAGAGCACGACCCGCGCCACUGGCACUGAGACACUGGCCAGACACCUACGGGUGGCUGCAGUCGAGGAUCUUCGGCAAUGGGCGCAAGCCUGACCGAGCGACGCCGCGUGUGCGAUGAAGGCCUUCGGGUUGUAAAGCACUGUCGAGGGGGAGAAAAGCGAAAGCUUGAUCUAUCCCUGGAGGAAGCACGGGCUAAGUUCGUGCCAGCAGCCGCGGUAAUAC